CUGGGAUUACAGGCAUGAGCCACCGCACCCGGCCCAACCUGAUUUGACAUUUUACCUUCUUUGGGUUAUGUCCUCCUUCCUGGGUAGGAACUUGGACCUGCAGCCUCCCUCCUGCUAAAUGGACUGAUCCUCGCCCUCACCUGACUGUUCCACCCCCACACCUGUUGCCCCUCCUGGAAGCAGAAAUGGCUUUGAUGGAAGGUGAUUGGGCCGCUGUGAGAGGACUCCACAAGGCCUUCCUGAGAUGUUCUCUGGGGUCACCUGAUUGUGGAAAAAUUGAGUUUGAGCAAAACUGGCAUGGCCGUACUGGAUGGACCUCAGCAUGACCAGGGCAUAUUUGAGCUCAAAUCCACUGUGCCAAGGACACAUUCUGCCAAGGACCACCACCUCUUCCCACAACUGUGAGUGGGUUUAUGUCAUCACAGGAGGUGCAAAAACGUGUGGCGAGGUAAGUGAAUUGGGAUGUCGUUGGCUUCCCAAGCAAGAGGGCAGCUUUCCUGCCUGUAGAAGAACAGAAAACACAGCAGGAUAAUUAAAAGCAUGAGACUUUGGUUCCAA